AGUCCCUAGGGCGGGUUGCCUGCCCUGGCUGAACUGGAUUAAAUCUGUGCUCUAGUGGGUGUGGCAGAACCCUGGGCUAACAGCCCAAGGGAUGCACCUCAAUGGCCCCCACCUGUGUCUGUAUCAGCAUGCCUGGACCAGCUCAGAGCAACGGCCCCCACCAAUGUCUCAGUCUCCGGAGAGGAUCCUCCUCUCACCAAGAUGCCCCCAGAGCCCACUAGGUCUAAAAUAAAUUGAAGGAAAAGUAAGGCCUCCAUGAUCAUCACGUGUAAUGAACAUGCGAAGCAAUAAAGCUAUUAAUGGAAGAAGUGUGGAGAAUAGAGAAAACUAUAGAGAUGGCAUCUUGUGAGAGAAAACAAAGCAACAAGUCAAGAGAAAUUUCCCCUUAGUAGACAAGUCUUAAAUGAAGAUUACUUUUCCUUGAUGUCUUCAUUAUUUUAAAGCAGCAAUACUUCUAGAGUAUUUAUAAAAUGUUGCUAAAAUUGGUAUCCCUCUUCUAAGAUAUCUCAACUCCUUGAGAUAGCUGAUCUUUGCUACCACCUCUCAACAAAUUGUUCAACUGGUUUUACAAGAGCAUCAGCAAGAGUCCUCCAGACACUAUUUUUUUAGACCCGUUUUGACUCCUCAGGAUGUUUCUGAUCACCUCUGAAUUGUUCAGGAACCAAUGAUAUUUACCUUGAAUAAAAGAAGAGACUGACUAUUUGAACUUUAUCAGAACCCACUACUACAAAAACGCAGGGAGUUUUGAGACCUCUUCCCAACCCCCUUCACCACACACAUAUUUUUGUGUUCCAGGAAAUUCCUACAGGCUCAUCAACUAACCAGCUAACUGCAAGGAUUAUCCUGCCCUGGAAUAUUACCAGGAAGGUCCACCUCCACCCUUCCUCAAUAAUUCAGAGAAGACCUGUCUCCAGGUUUCCUCAAGAUUCCUUUGUAUAUUUGUCUCUAUAAAUCCUCAGUCCCCUUUCCUUUUCUUUGAGUUGCUUCUUAUUAAUGAACAUUAUCCUCAUUGUGACAGCCUGAAUAAAAU
rnacentral:lncRNA from 1 species